rnacentral:rRNA from 1 species
AGAGUUUGAUCCUGGCUCAGGAUGAACGCUGACAGAAUGCUUAACACAUGCAAGUCGACUCGAGUCUUCGGACUUGGGUGGCGCACGGGUGAGUAACGCGUAAAGAACUUGCCUCUUAGACUGGGACAACAUCUGGAAACGGAUGCUAAUACCGGAUAUUAUGGUUUCUUCGCAUGGAGGAAUCAUGAAAGCUAGAUGCGCUAAGAGAGAGCUUUGCGUCCCAUUAGCUGGUUGGUGAGGUAACGGCCCACCAAGGCAAUGAUGGGUAGCCGGCCUGAGAGGGUGAACGGCCACAAGGGGACUGAGACACGGCCCUUACUCCUACGGGAGGCAGCAGUGGGGAAUAUUGGACAAUGGACCACAAGUCUGAUCCAGCAAUUCUGUGUGCACGAUGACGUUUUUCGGAAUGUAAAGUGCUUUCAGUCGGGAAGAAGUCAGUGACGGUACCGACAGAAGAAGCGACGGCUAAAUACGUGCCAGCAGCCGCGGUAAUACGUAUGUCGCAAGCGUUAUCCGGAUUUAUUGGGCGUAAAGCGCGUCUAGGCGGCAAGGAAAGUCUGAUGUGAAAAUGCGGAGCUCAACUCCGUAUGGCGUUGGAAACUGCCUUACUAGAGUACUGGAGAGGUAGGCGGAACUACAAGUGUAGAGGUGAAAUUCGUAGAUAUUUGUAGGAAUGCCGAUGGGGAAGCCAGCCUACUGGACAGAUACUGACGCUAAAGCGCGAAAGCGUGGGUAGCAAACAGGAUUAGAUACCCUGGUAGUCCACGCUGUAAACGAUGAUUACUAGGUGUUGGGGGUCAAACCUCAGCGCCCAAGCUAACGCGAUAAGUAAUCCGCCUGGGGAGUACGUACGCAAGUAUGAAACUCAAAGGAAUUGACGG